GGUAGGGCGUCACUGCACUUACUCAGUACUUCCUCUACAGCUCUCUGUGUAGAAAAAUUGAGUUUUCAGUUACCAUGGCAUUCACAAGGUCCAAGGAGGACGACACUAAUUCAGUAUACCCCAGCUUUAUCCAUGCAAAACACCAAGACAAGCUUAAGCUACAGAAUGGUAACAGAGAUGGGACAGGACAAGGAUUCACUAUUGUGAAUAGCACAUCUUUACCUCAACCACUUUGACCAACUCGACCAGGUCAAUUUGGCGUGACUCCACAGGCUGGGGGAUCUCAAGACUGCUCUGCUUUGCAUCCUCCAGUAAAGGCUCAACUGCGAGAAAGCAUGGAUUUGCCAGGUCAAGCGUCUGAGCCUGAGGAACUGAGAGAUGAUCUACUAGUGUGAUUUAUGCUGAUGGAAUUUACCUCUGGAUCGCUUCUUUUGUAGCAGCUCGCGUGAUGUGGCCGAGGGACUUGAGGAGAAUUAUACACUGACAGCAGUGGAGAUGAGAGCGCACUUGAAAUUAUCAGGCGGAACCCACCGACUAGCCCGUCUCGAUCACGCCCACAUGGGCGGGACCAGCCAGGUGCUCCGUAGAACGCUUAAUGACGGAAUGGAUUUAAGCACUGAGCUCCAUCGGGACAUUGCGAAACCCGUUCCCGAACCUGAACCUCCUGCCCCGCUGAGACCGGCUUCUCCUGGUAAAGACUCCAACAGCAAGACUGUGGUACAGCAGCCUGUGUCUGACACUGUGUCUGACACAGACUCUGUGAGCCUGCAGUGUACGAUAGAGACUGGGAGCUGUGCAGGAGAACACAGUGUUUACUGGUUCAGACAUGGAUCAGGAGAAUCCCUUCCUGGAGUCAUUUACAGCCACGGAAACAGGAGUGAUGAGUGUGAGAAGAGCCCUGAGGCUGGAUCUCCUACACGGAGCUGCGUCUACAGCCUCCCCAAGGGGAACCUCAGCCUCUCCGAUGCUGGGACUUACUACUGCGCCGUGGCCAUGUGUGGGGAGAUGCUGUUUGGCAAUGGGACCAAGCUGGAUAUAGAUGGUAACACCCAGUGAGGGGAGAUGCUGUUUGGGAACGGCACACAGCUGGAUAUAGAUGGUAACACCCAGUGAGGGGAGAUGCUGUUUGGGAACGGCACACAGCUGGAUAUAGAUGGUAACACCCAGCGUGGGGAGAUGCUGUUUGGGAACGGAACACAGCUGGAUAUAGAUGGUAACACCCAGUGAGGGGAGAUGCUGUUUGGGAACGGCACAUAGCUGGAUAUAGAUGGUAACACCCAGUGUGGGGAGAUGCUGUUUGGGAACGGCACACAGCUGGAUAUAGAUGGU